rnacentral:rRNA from 1 species
GUAGGGAAUCUUCGGCAAUGGGGGCAACCCUGACCGAGCAACGCCGCGUGAGUGAAGAAGGUUUUCGGAUCGUAAAGCUCUGUUGUAAGUCAAGAACGGGUGUGAGAGUGGAAAGUUCACACUGUGACGGUAGCUUACCAGAAAGGGACGGCUAACUACGUGCCAGCAGCCGCGGUAAUACGUAGGUCCCGAGCGUUGUCCGGAUUUAUUGGGCGUAAAGCGAGCGCAGGCGGUUUGAUAAGUCUGAAGUUAAAGGCUGUGGCUCAACCAUAGUUCGCUUUGGAAACUGUCAAACUUGAGUGCAGAAGGGGAGAGUGGAAUUCCAUGUGUAGCGGUGAAAUGCGUAGAUAUAUGGAGGAACACCGGUGGCGAAAGCGGCUCUCUGGUCUGUAACUGACGCUGAGGCUCGAAAGCGUGGGGGAGCGAACAGGAUUAGAUACCCUGGUAGUCCACGCCGUAAACGAUGAGUGCUAGGUGUUGGAUCCUUUCCGGGAUUCAGUGCCGAAGCUAACGCAUUAAGCACUCCCGCCUGGGGAGUACGACCG